rnacentral:rRNA from 1 species
AACGAACGCUGGCGGCAGGCUUAACACAUGCAAGUCGAACGCGUGUAGCAAUACACGAGUGGCGCACGGGUGAGUAACGCGUGGAUAUCUGCCUUUUGGUUCGGAAUAACCCCGGGAAACUGGGGCUAAUACCGGAUGGUUCCUUCGGGAUAAAGAUUUAUCGCCAAAAGAUGAGUCCGCGUCCGAUUAGCUAGUUGGUGAGGUAAUGGCUCACCAAGGCGACGAUCGGUAGCUGGUCUGAGAGGACGAUCAGCCACACUGGGACUGAGACACGGCCCAGACUCCUACGGGAGGCAGCAGUGGGGAAUAUUGGACAAUGGGGGCAACCCUGAUCCAGCCAUGCCGCGUGAGUGAUGAAGGCCUU